CCUACGGGGGGCUGCAGUGGGGAAUAUUGGACAAUGGGGGCAACCCUGAUCCAGCCAUGCCGCGUGUGUGAAGAAGGCCCUCGGGUUGUAAAGCACUUUCAGUGAGGAAGAACGCCUGGUGGUUAAUACCCAUCAGGAAAGACAUCACUCACAGAAGAAGCACCGGCUAACUCCGUGCCAGCAGCCGCGGUAAUACGGAGGGUGCGAGCGUUAAUCGGAAUUACUGGGCGUAAAGCGCGCGUAGGUGGCUUGAUAAGCCGGUUGUGAAAGCCCCGGGCUCAACCUGGGAACGGCAUCCGGAACUGUCAAGCUAGAGUGCAGGAGAGGAAGGUAGAAUUCCCGGUGUAGCGGUGAAAUGCGUAGAGCUCGGGAGGAAUACCAGUGGCGAAGGCGGCCUUCUGGACUGACACUGACACUGAGGUGCGAAAGCGUGGGUAGCAAACAGGAUUAGAUACCCUUGUAGUC
rnacentral:rRNA from 1 species